rnacentral:misc_RNA from 1 species
UUUUCGUAGGUGAACCUGCGGAAGGAUCAUUAUUGAAGCAUAAGAGCGCACUUCAUCGUGGCUCGACCCUUCAUAUCCACCCACACUGUGCACUGUAUACCUUUUUUUAGACUCUAACAAGUCAAAGGAUGUACUACUUUAAUAAAGUAACAAAACUUUCAACAACGGAUCUCUUGGUUCUCGCAUCGAUGAAGAACGCAGC